rnacentral:rRNA from 1 species
UGAGUAACCUGCCCUUAACUCUGGGAUAAGCCUGGGAAACUGGGUCUAAUACCGGAUAUGACUCCUCAUCGCAUGGGUGGGGGGUGGAAAGCUUUAUUGUGGUUUUGGAUGGACUCGCGGCCUAUCAGCUUGUUGGUGAGGUAAUGGCUCACCAAGGCGACGACGGGUAGCCGGACUGAGAGGGUGACCGGCCACACUGGGACUGAGACACGGCCCAGACUCCGUACGGGAGCAG